rnacentral:rRNA from 1 species
AACGCGAAGAACCUUACCAGGGUUUGACAUUCCGACGCACCGACUGGAAACGGUCGUGCCCGCAAGGGACGUCGGGACAGAUGCUGCAUGGCUGUCGUCAGCUCGUGCCGUGAGGUGUUGGGUUAAGUCCCGCAACGAGCGCAACCCGCGCGACCAGUUACACUCUCUGGUCGGACUGCCGCGACUAACGCGGAGGAAGGUGCGGAUGACGUCAAGUCAGCACGGCUCUUACAUCCUGGGCGACACACACGCUACAAUGGGCGGUACAACGGGUCGCGAAGCCGCGAGGCGGAGCCAAUCCCACCAAAGCCGUCCCCAGUUCAGAUCGCAGUCUGCAACUCGACUGCGUGAAGGCGGAGUUGCUAGUAACCGCAGGUCAGCACACUGCGGUGAAUACGUUCCCGGGCCUUGUACACACCGUGUCGA